rnacentral:rRNA from 1 species
UGGGGAAUAUUGGACAAUGGGCGAAAGCCUGAUCCAGCCAUGCCGCGUGUGUGAAGAAGGCCCUCGGGUUGUAAAGCACUUUCAGCGAGGAAGAACGCCUAGGGGUUAAUACCCCCUAGGAAAGACAUCACUCGCAGAAGAAGCACCGGCUAACUCCGUGCCAGCAGCCGCGGUAAUACGGAGGGUGCAAGCGUUAAUCGGAAUUACUGGGCGUAAAGCGCGCGUAGGUGGCUUGAUAAGCCGGUUGUGAAAGCCCCGGGCUCAACCUGGGAACGGCAUCCGGAACUGUCAAGCUAGAGUGCAGGAGAGGAAGGUAGAAUUCCCGGUGUAGCGGUGAAAUGCGUCAGAUCGGGAGGAAUACCGGUGGCAAAGGCGGCCUUCUGGACUGCCACUGACGCUGGUGUGCGAAAGCGUGGGUAGCAAACA